UACGUAGGGGGCAAGCGUUAUCCGGAAUUAUUGGGCGUAAAGAGCUCGUAGGCGGUUUGUCGCGUCUGCUGUGAAAACCCGAGGCUCAACCUCGGGCCUGCAGUGGGUACGGGCAGACUAGAGUGUGGUAGGGGAGACUGGAAUUCCUGGUGUAGCGGUGAAAUGCGCAGAUAUCUGGAGGAACACCGGUGGCGAAGGCGGCAUCCUGGACCGAUACUGACGCUGAGGAGCGAAAGCCAGGG
rnacentral:rRNA from 1 species